rnacentral:rRNA from 1 species
ACUUAGUGGCGGACGUGGUGAGUAACGCGUGGAUAACCUGCCUUACACUGGGGGAUAACACUUAGAAAUAGGUGCUAAUACCGCAUAAGCGCACGGAGCCGCAUGGCUCAGUGUGAAAAACUCCGGUGGUGUAAGAUGGAUCCGCGUCUGAUUAGCUGGUUGGCGGGGUAGAAGCCCACCAAGGCGACGAUCAGUAGCCGGCCUGAGAGGGUGACCGGCCACAUUGGGACUGAGACACGGCCCAAACUCCUACGGGAGGCAGCAGUGGGGAAUAUUGCACAAUGGGGGAAACCCUGAUGCAGCAACGCCGCGUGAGUGAAGAAGUCAUUCGUGAUGUAAAGCUCUAUCAGCAGGGAAGAAAAUGACGGUACCUGAGUAAGAAGCCCCGGCUAACUACGUGCCAGCAGCCGCGGUAAUACGUAGGGGGCAAGCGUUAUCCGGAUUUACUGGGUGUAAAGGGAGCGUAGACGGCCAGACAAGUCUGAAGUGAAAAUCCAGCGCUUAACGUUGGAAGUGCUUUGGAAACUGCCGGGCUAGAGUGCAGGAGGGGCAGGCGGAAUUCCUAGUGUAGCGGUGAAAUGCGUAGAUAUUAGGAGGAACACCAGUGGCGAAGGCGGCCUGCUGGACUGCAACUGACGUUGAGGCUCGAAGGCGUGGGGAGCAAACAGGAUUAGAUACCCUGGUAGUCCACGCGGUAAACGAUGAUUACUAGGUGUCGGGGGGCUAGAG